rnacentral:rRNA from 1 species
CCUACGGGAGGCAGCAGUGAGGAAUAUUGGUCAAUGGGCGUAAGUCUGAACCAGCCAUGCCGCGUGCAGGAUGAAGGCUCUAUGGAUUGUAAACUUCUUUUGUACGAGGGUAAACUCCGAUACGUGUACCGUGUUGUAUGUAUCUUACGAAUAAGGAUCGGCUAACUCCGUGCCAGCAGCCGCGGUAAUACGGAGGAUCCGAGCGUUAUCCGGAUUUAUUGGGUUUAAAGGGUGCGUAGGCGGUUUGAUAAGUUAGCGGUGAAAUGUCGGGGCUCAACCCCGAAAUUGCCGUUGAUACUGUUGGACUAGAGAAUAGUUGCGGUAGGCGGAAUGUAUGGUGUAGCGGUGAAAUGCUUAGAGAUCAUACAGAACACCGAUUGCGAAGGCAGCUUACCAAGCUAUAACUGACGUUGAGGCACGAAAGCGUGGGUAGCAAACAGGAUUAGAUACCCGGGUAGUC